GAUGAACGCUAGCGGCAGGCCUAAUACAUGCAAGUCGGACGGGAUCCAUUGAUAGCUUGCUAUCAAUGGUGAGAGUGGCGCACGGGUGCGUAACGCGUGAGCAACCUGCCUCCAUCAGGGGGAUAGCCUCUCGAAAGAGAGAUUAACACCGCAUAAUAUCAACAGUUCGCAUGUUCAGUUGAUUAAAUAUUUAUAGGAUGGAGAUGGGCUCGCGUGACAUUAGCUAGUUGGUAGGGUAACGGCUUACCAAGGCGACGAUGUCUAGGGGCUCUGAGAGGAGAAUCCCCCACACUGGUACUGAGACACGGACCAGACUCCUACGGGAGGCAGCAGUAAGGAAUAGUGGUCAAUGGGCGGAAGCCUGAACCAGCCAUGCCGCGUGCAGGAUGACUGCCCUAUGGGUGGUAAACUGCUUUUGUCCAGGAAUAAACCUAAAUACGAGUAUUUAGCUGAAUGUACUGGAAGAAUAAGGAUCGGCUAACUCCGUG
rnacentral:rRNA from 1 species